rnacentral:rRNA from 1 species
CCCCUAGAUGUUCUGGGCCGCACGCGUGCUACACUGAGUGGAUCAGCGGGUCAGGUUGCGCGAAAGUGUUUCCUAAUCUUGAAAUCCGCUCGUGAUGGGGAUUGACGGUUGCAAUUUUCCGUCAUGAACGAGGAAUACCUUGUAAGCGCGGGUCAUCAUCCCGCGCUGAAUACGUCCCUGCCCUUUGUACACACCGCCCGUCGCUCCUACCGAUUGAGUGGUCCGGUGAGGCUUUGGGAUCUGAGCAAAAAGAGCGUUUCGCUCGUUUGGCUCGGAAAACUCAGUCGAACCUUAUCAUUUAGAGGAAGGAGAAGUCGUAACA